GAUGAACGCUGGCGGCGUGCCUAAUACAUGCAAGUCGAGCGAACAGAUGAGGAGCUUGCUCCUCUGACGUUAGCGGCGGACGGGUGAGUAACACGUGGAUAACCUACCUAUAAGACUGGGAUAACUUCGGGAAACCGGAGCUAAUACCGGAUAAUAUAUUGAACCGCAUGGUUCAAUAGUGAAAGACGGUUUUGCUGUCACUUAUAGAUGGAUCCGCGCCGCAUUAGCUAGUUGGUAAGGUAACGGCUUACCAAGGCAACGAUGCGUAGCCGACCUGAGAGGGUGAUCGGCCACACUGGAAGUGAGACACGGUCCAGACUCCUACGGGAGGCAGCAGUAGGGAAGCUUCCGCAAUGGGCGAAAGCUUGACGGAGCAACGCCGCGUGAGUGAUGAAGGUCUUCGGAUCGUAAAACUCUGUUAUUAGGGAAGAACAAAUGUGUAAGUAACUAUGCACGUCUUGACGGUACCUAAUCAGAAAGCCACGGCUAACUACGUG
rnacentral:rRNA from 1 species